GUCUACGGCCAUACCAACCUGAACGUGCCCGAUCUCGUCUCAUCUAGGAAGCUAAGCAGGGUCGGGCCUGGUUAGUACUUGGAUGGAAGAAUUAUUUACACGAAAUUUUCUAUGGAGAAAAUGCCACAAAGAACA
ensembl:rRNA 5S_rRNA 5S ribosomal RNA